rnacentral:sRNA from 1 species
GGGCGCGCGCGGGGUGGGGGCGGGGUGGCCGGGAGGUGGCAGCCCACCGCUGGGGAGCGACCUGCGGUCUGGGCCUCCCGGGCACGCCGCGAAGGCUGGCAGGUCACUCGGGCCCGAGGGGCCUCGUGGGGAGCGGCCAUGUUGGCUUCGUCACUGAGGACUCCGGGCGGGUCGGGUGUCGGGAGAGGCCUCGGACCUUCGGCCUGUCGGGGACGCCCUGCCGGGAAUUCAGAAGGAGCUGGCGGACAUCACUUUAGACCCUCCACCUAAUUGCAGUGCUGGUCCCAAAGGCGAUAACAUCUAUGAAUGGAGAUCAACCAUUCUAGGGCCUCCAGGAUCCGUGUAUGAGGGUGGUGUAUUCUUUCUCGAUAUCACUUUUACACCAGAAUAUCCCUUCAAGCCUCCAAAGGUUACAUUUCGGACAAGAAUCUAUCAUUGUAAUAUUAACAGUCAAGGUGUUAUUUGCUUGGACAUAUUGAAAGAUAAUUGGAGUCCAGCACUAACCAUUUCUAAAGUCCUCCUUUCUAUCUGCUCACUUCUUACAGACUGUAAUCCUGCCGACCCCUUGGUGGGAAGUAUUGCCACUCAGUAUAUGACCAACAGAGCAGAACAUGACAGAAUGGCCAGACAGUGGACCAAGAGAUACGCUACAUAAAUUGGGGUUUCACGAUUCUUACAUUAUUUGUCUGUCACAGAAGAGAGCUGCUUAUGAUUUUGAAGGGGUCAGGGAGGGUGGGAGUUGGUAAAGAGUAGGGUAUUUCUAUAACAGAUAUUAUUCAGUCUUAUUUCCUAAGAUUUUGUUGUAACUUAAGGUAUCUUGCUACAGUAGACAGAAUUGGUAAUAGCAACUUUUAAAAUUGUCAUUAGUUCUGCAAUAUUAGCUGAAAUGUAGUACAGAAAAGAAUGUACAUUUAGACAUUUGGGUUCAGUUGCUUGUAGUCUGUAAAUUUAAAACAGCUUAAUUUUGUACAGGUUACACACAUGGCCAUUUAUGUAAAGUCCCUGUAAGACUACAUACUUUUUGUUUAAAACAAAAUUGGAAUUUGUUUUCCCUUCUUGGAAGGGAACAUUGAUAUUUAACAGAGUUUUUAGAGACUGUCAUCUCAUAUAUAUAAAAUGGACACGUGGCUAUAAAACA